GGCAACCCGCUGGGGUCCCCUUCACCACUGUGGAAGCUUUGUUCUUUUGCUCUUUGCAAUAAAUCUUGCUACUGCUCACUCUUUGGGUCCACGCUGCUUUUAUGAACUGUAACACUCACCGCGAAGAUCUGCAGCUUCACUCCUGAGCCCAGUGAGACCACGAGCCCACCAGGAGGAACGAACGACUCCAGACGCGCCACCUUAAGAGCUGUAACACUCACCGCGAAGGUCUGCAGCUUCACUCCUGAGCCAGCGAGACCACGAACCCACCAGAAGGAAGAAACUCCGAACACAUCUGAACAUCAGAAGGGACAGACUCCAGGCGCGCCACCUUAAGAGCUGUUAACACUCACCGCGAGGGUCCGCGGCUUCAUUCCUGAAAUCAGUGAGACCAAGAACCCACCAAUUCCGGACACAUUCCCUUCACACCUCCCUCUGGUGUCUGAAAACCCAAGAACAUUCAUUUCCUUACGGAGAGACUCAACAAUCCUUCAUUGGGAUGGGAGAGGGGGCUCGCAUCCAUCCACUGUCCCCUUCACUGUGAAUGAAUUGGUUGGUUUGCAUUCGCUCACAUCUGUAGAACUGGAGGGAACAGGACACAGAAAAGAGUAGGCCAGAGGAACAACUGCCCAGGAGUCAGGGGCAAGAGGAGAACUGUUUCCCCCCAGGGGUGUCUCACCUGGGUCAGAAUCACUCAUGAUGGCCUCAGGGACCAGGAAGUUAUGAGCAGAGAUCCUUGGUGAGGUCUACACACCACAGUUUUGCCUGAAGACGAUCCUUAUUUUAGAGAGCCAAUUUAAAGUAGGAGGAAAGCAAAAGUAAUGUUACUGAAUUGGUGGCAGAGAGGAGGAGGCAUCACCCCACGGAACUUGAAUGCCAACAGCUCUUCAUCGAUUCACAUUAAAGAAAAUUAGAAGGAGGAGGAGGAGAAAAGAAAGCCCUGUCACCAAGUUUAUUAUUCCCAGGGUGGUCAGCUUUCUAUUUAAGGGAAUAUGCCCAAAUUUCAGAACUGGUUUAGUUUAUGAUCUGAAAAACAUAGGCAAUUAUUCACUUGCCUCUUACAUAUUUGUGUGUCUGGCUGUGACUUUCAAUGGAGGGCAAUAAAAAGGAAUCAUUAAGAAGCCUAGUCUAGAUGAUGUGUUUUCUCUCUCUGAAGAAGAAGAGAGAUGGCUUUUGCCUAAGUACCCCAAAUUAAAUACAUAAGCUUUCUACAUGGAAGCCUAAAUAGCUUAUUGAAUUAAAAAAGAAAUCUUAGAGCUUUACAGUAAAAACACUCUUUUUCCCAUUUCUGGAAAAAUUAUGUUAGUAAAAAUUAUUUGGCCAUAAUCUCUCAGACUGUGCAAUUUUAAUGUAGUGAAUAGAAAAUUAAAUACAAUUUUCCACUGCAACUGGCUUUGACACUGAAUAAGACAUGUCACCAUAUGUACUGAAGACUCCUCCAUAUAUGUAUUAAAGUUUUUAUUUAUCUGUU